rnacentral:ribozyme from 1 species
CGAUCGAGAGCAUCAAGAUUGUCUGCGAUCGUGAGACUCGCCAGAGCCGCGGCUACGGCUUCGUGAAGUUCGUCUCCGCCGCCAGCGCCAGCCACGCCAUCCAGGAGCUCAACGGCCACGCGAUUAUGAACAAGCGCCUGAAGGUCGCGCUCGCCGUCGCCGGUC